rnacentral:rRNA from 1 species
AUGGAGAGCAAGCGUGUGCUGGUGGUGGGCAGGAGUGGCUACCUCGGCCAACACCUCCUCGCCUCGCUCGCCGCCAGGUGGGGGGGCAACGGCGUCGACGUCGACAUGGCCUUCACCCACCACCGCGGGGCCGCGCCGCGGGCGCUGCUCGACGCGCUCCCCAGCGUCCGUGCCUUCCGCGCCGACCUCUGCUCCGGCAACCUUCGGACAGUUUAG